UUAAAAGUGAUGAUGAGAAGGAGUACUAUGGAUAGAUUCUUCUAGAGAAAAGGUUCUAGGCUGAAAAACCUUUAGAUAUACCAUGGGAAGCAGUCUCUGAACAAUAAUCUUGAAUUUCAGUAGAGAUUAUCGGCAAAGCCGUUAUACUUUAUUCCUAGAGUGAUUGCUAUAUUUUAGCAAUAAUUAGGGUGGUACCGCGAGAACACUCUCGUCCCUACA
rnacentral:ncRNA from 1 species